AGUGUCUCAUCUAGAAAAAUAAAUUAGAAGAUAUUAUUUAGAUUUUCUAGUCUAUGUAAAUAUCUAAGACCUAUCUAGUAUAUAGACAUUGUGGGACUAAAAAUACGUCUGCAUGGAUCUCACUAGGACCAGCAUCAUAUGCAAGCAAAUAAGCAUGUAAUCAUAUGGAGAGGAUAGGUAGGGGAUCGAAACUUGCAAAGCAAUUUUUAUAUUUGGAUUCGGCCAUCAGCCGCUCAUGAGCAUGCGCCCUACUCGUUGAGCCCCAAGAUUGGUCUAAUUUCUUACCUCUUACACUGCUAGAACAAACAGUUACUAUUUAACACUCCUGCAUCCAUUGCUAAACUUCAAUUAUCGCCACCAGAG
rnacentral:lncRNA from 1 species